GGUUAAGUUAGAAAGGGCGCACGGUGAAUGCCUUGGCACUAGGAGCCGAUGAAGGACGGGACUAACACCGAUAUGCUUCGGGGAGCUGUAAGUGAGCUUUGAUCCGGAGAUUUCCGAAUGGGGAAACCCACUGUUCGUAAUGGAACAGUAUCUUUAUCUGAAUACAUAGGAUAUUGAAGGCAGACCCGGGGAACUGAAACAUCUAAGUACCCGGAGGAAGAGAAAGCAAAUGCGAUUUCCUGAGUAGCGGCGAGCGAAACGGAAUUAGCCCAAACCAAGAGGCUUGCCUCUUGGGGUUGUAGGACACUCUAUACGGAGUUACAAAGGAACGAAGUAAAUGAAGCGACCUGGAAAGGUCCGUCGAAGAAGGUAACAACCCUGUAGUUGAAACUUCGUUCCCUCUUGAGUGGAUCCUGAGUACGGCGGAACACGUGAAAUUCCGUCGGAAGCUGGGAGGACCAUCUCCCAAGGCUAAAUACUACCUAGUGACCGAUAGUGAACCAGUACCGUGAGGGAAAGGUGAAAAGCACCCCGGAAGGGGAGUGAAAGAGAUCCUGAAACCGUGUGCCUACAAGUAGUCAGAGCCCGUUAACGGGUGAUGGCGUGCCUUUUGUAGAAUGAACCGGCGAGUUACGAUCCCAUGCAAGGUUAAGCUGAUAAGGCGGAGCCGUAGCGAAAGCGAGUCUGAAUAGGGCGUUUAGUAUGUGGUUGUAGACCCGAAACCAGGUGAUCUACCCAUGUCCAGGGUGAAGUUCAGGUAACACUGAAUGGAGGCCCGAACCCACGCACGUUGAAAAGUGCGGGGAUGAGGUGUGGGUAGCGGAGAAAUUCCAAUCGAACCUGGAGAUAGCUGGUUCUCUCCGAAAUAGCUUUAGGGCUAGCCUCAUGUUGUGAGAGUCUUGGAGGUAGAGCACUGAUUGGACUAGGGGCCCCCAACGGGUUACCGAAUUCAGUCAAACUCCGAAUGCCAAAGACUUAUCCAUGGGAGUCAGACUGCGAGUGAUAAGAUCCGUAGUCAAAAGGGAAACAGCCCAGACCACCAGCUAAGGUCCCCAAGUAUACGUUAAGUGGAAAAGGAUGUGGAGUUGCUUAGACAACCAGGAUGUUGGCUUAGAAGCAGCCACCAUUUAAAGAGUGCGUAAUAGCUCACUGGUCGAGUGACUCUGCGCCGAAAAUGUACCGGGGCUAAACGUAUCACCGAAGCUGUGGAUUGACAUCUUAGAUGUCAGUGGUAGGAGAGCGUUCUAAGUGCAGCGAAGUCAGACCGUAAGGACUGGUGGAGCGCUUAGAAGUGAGAAUGCCGGUAUGAGUAGCGAAAGACAAGUGAGAAUCUUGUCCACCGAAUGCCUAAGGUUUCCUGAGGAAGGCUCGUCCGCUCAGGGUUAGUCGGGACCUAAGCCGAGGCUGAAAAGCGUAGGCGAUGGCCAACAGGUUGAUAUUCCUGUACCACCUCCCCGCCGUUUGAGUAAUGGGGGGACGCAGUAGGAUAGGGUAAGCGCGCUGCUGGAUAUGCGCGUUCAAGCAGUUAGGCUGAUGAGUAGGCAAAUCCGCUCAUCAUAAAGGCUGAGCUGUGAUGACGAGGGAAUUAUAGUACCGAAGUUCCUGAUUCCACACUGCCAAGAAAAGCCUCUAGCGAGGCGGGAGGUGCCCGUACCGCAAACCGACACAGGUAGGCGAGGAGAGAAUCCUAAGGUGAUCGAGAGAACUCUCGUUAAGGAACUCGGCAAAAUGACCCCGUAACUUCGGGAGAAGGGGUGCUCUGGUAGGGUGUAUAGCCCGAGAGAGCCGCAGUGAAUAGGCCCAGGCGACUGUUUAGCAAAAACACAGGUCUCUGCGAAGCCGCAAGGCGAAGUAUAGGGGCUGACGCCUGCCCGGUGCUGGAAGGUUAAGAGGAGGGGUUAUCCUUUGGGAGAAGCUCUGAAUCGAAGCCCCAGUAAACGGCGGCCGUAACUAUAACGGUCCUAAGGUAGCGAAAUUCCUUGUCGGGUAAGUUCCGACCCGCACGAAAGGCGUAACGAUCUGGGCACUGUCUCAACGAGAGACUCGGUGAAAUUAUAGUACCUGUGAAGAUGCAGGUUACCCGCGACAGGACGGAAAGACCCCGUGGAGCUUUACUGUAGCCUGAUAUUGAAUUUUGGUACAGCUUGUACAGGAUAGGUAGGAGCCUGAGAAGCCGGAGCGCUAGCUUCGGUGGAGGCGUCGGUGGGAUACUACCCUGGCUGUAUUGAAAUUCUAACCCGCGGCCCUGAUCGGGCCGGGAGACAGUGUCAGGUGGGCAGUUUGACUGGGGCGGUCGCCUCCUAAAAUGUAACGGAGGCGCCCAAAGGUUCCCUCAGAAUGGUUGGAAAUCAUUCGUAGAGUGUAAAGGCACAAGGGAGCUUGACUGCGAGACCUACAAGUCGAGCAGGGACGAAAGUCGGGCUUAGUGAUCCGGUGGUUCCGCAUGGAAGGGCCAUCGCUCAACGGAUAAAAGCUACCCCGGGGAUAACAGGCUUAUCUCCCCCAAGAGUCCACAUCGACGGGGAGGUUUGGCACCUCGAUGUCGGCUCAUCGCAUCCUGGGGCUGUAGUCGGUCCCAAGGGUUGGGCUGUUCGCCCAUUAAAGCGGUACGCGAGCUGGGUUCAGAACGUCGUGAGACAGUUCGGUCCCUAUCCGUCGUGGGCGUAGGAAAUUUGAGAGGAGCUGUCCUUAGUACGAGAGGACCGGGAUGGACACACCGCUGGUGUACCAGUUGUCUUGCCAAAGGCAUCGCUGGGUAGCUAUGUGUGGACGGGAUAAGUGCUGAAAGCAUCUAAGCAUGAAGCCCCCCUCAAGAUGAGAUUUCCCAUAGCGCAAGCUAGUAAGAUCCCUGAAAGAUGAUCAGGUUGAUAGGUCAGAGGUGGAAGCGUGGCGACACGUGUAGCUGACUGAUACUAAUCGAUCGAGGACUUAACCAA
rnacentral:rRNA from 1 species